GUGCCAUUUGGGACAGGGCAAUACACUUGGGGCACCAAUUUAUUUUUAUUUUUUUUUACCAAUACUACUUCAAUACUAUGAAUUCAAAAUAUUAUGAAAAAGCGAUCGUCCCACAAAAAUAUAACUAUUUUAUUUCUCUCCCGACUCACCCCUGACGCAUGAUCAACAUUUCCCCGCACAGCCGCACUUACAAAUGCAUCCGUUACCGGAUUGUGAUAGAUGUACACUAAUAAAUUAUCACUGUAUCAAAAAGACCGAAGCCCUCUGGUGCCCAGGGAAGAAUAAAAAAGAAAAGAAGAAGAAGAAAAAACGGGACAAAGACAGAGGCUUUAAGAAACAUACUGUAGAAGGCCAGCACACGCCUAUGGAAACCCUAACGAAAUUGCAGUCCAAAGAGGCUGAAGGGGUCAGCAGACUCCCUGGGCAAAGGUUGUCAUGGGAACGACCCCUGGAUCCUUCAGUCUGCUAUUUCGUGGCCCCCGUUCAUCUUGAGGCAGAAUGAUCCAGAUUCUUAUACUGCUGAGAUGUUUCCCUCCAUCCUCCCCACAACCACCAGGAUGGCCCCGUACAUGCGGGGGUAUGCUCCGCCCUGCCUUUGUCUUCGGCAGGAAUAACUGGAAUCUACAACGUCUGAUUAAAGCUACAGAUGGGGUCUACGGCAAAAUGAUUCUGUUCUUUGUAUUGGUUUUGUAAAUAAAUACUUUUGCGUUUUAUCUUCACCUCCUGAGUCUUUCUGGUAGAACAUUGAUUCUGAACUUAAAAUGUGGGAUUUUGCAUAUGUGUGUCAUGGCUGAAAAUAAUUGAUUUAAAGUUGAUUUUUGAGGCAUGAUACAUGAGUACUUAAGAUGAUUUUUUUUCUCCAUGAAGUGUUUUUUUUUCUUCUUAAAUCCAGCUUGAAUAAAUAAUAAUAUUAUUUACUGUUGCCAAAAGUUUAAUUAUUUAUUGAAGAUAUUUAUUAAAGAAACCUAUCUUUUAGACUACAUCUGACAAACUAGAAAGUCAAGAAUGCAAUUGAAGAGAGAAGUGUAACUCCUCACCCCUAGGUGGCACUGUUGAAGCAAUUUGCACCUUUAUUUUUUCAGAGGCGUCAAGGUUACACAUUACUUAUUUGAACAGAUUCCGUUUAUGAGUAAUGUGUUAAUCCUUUGGGCCCAACUUUCAG
ensembl:lncRNA